rnacentral:snRNA from 1 species
GUGCUAACUUCAGCUGCACAUACUAAAAUUGGAACAAUACAGAGAAGGUUAGCAUGGCCCUUGUACAAGGAUGACAUGCAAAUUGGUAAAGAAAAGAAAAAAAAUUAA